rnacentral:rRNA from 1 species
UACAGAGGUCUCAAGCGUUGUUCGGAUUCAUUGGGCGUAAAGGGUGCGUAGGCGGCGCGGUAAGUCGGGUGUGAAAUCUUGGAGCUUAACUCCGAAACUGCAUUCGAUACUGCCGUGCUUGAGGACUGGAGAGGAGACUGGAAUUUGACGGUGAGCGGUGAAAUGCGUAGAUAUCGUAAGGAAGACCAGUGGCGAAGGCGGGUCUCGUGGACAGUUCCUGACGCUGAAGCACGGAAGGCCAGGGGAGCAAACGGGA